AAUCAAGCGUCUUAAGGGCAUUUGGUGGAUGCCUUGGCGCGCAGAGGCGAUGAAGGACGUGGCACGCUGCGAUAAGCCAUGGGGAGCUGUGAGCAAGCUUUGAUCCGUGGAUUUCCGAAUGGGGAAACCCGACCCGCAAGGGUUAUCGUUACCUGAAUACAUAGGGUAACGAAGCGAACCCGGGGAACUGAAACAUCUCAGUACCCGGAGGAAAGGACAUCAACCGAGACUCCGUUAGUAGUGGCGAGCGAACGCGGACCAGGCCAAUGCCUGGAAUCUUCUAACUGGAACCGUCUGGAAAGUCGGGCCUUAGCGGGUGAUAGCCCCGUACAGGUGUUGAAGAUUUCAGGAUAUGAGUAGGGCGGGACACGAGAAAUCCUGUCUGAACAUGGGGGGACCACCCUCCAAGCCUAAGUACUCCUGCGCGACCGAUAGUGCACCAGUACCGUGAGGGAAAGGUGAAAAGCACCCCGACGAGGGGAGUGAAAUAGUACCUGAAACCGAAUGCCUACAAACAGUUGGAGCCCGCAAGGGUGACAACGUACCUUUUGUAUAAUGGGUCAGCGACUUAAUCUGGCGAGCAAGCCUAAGCCGAUAGGUGUAAGCGAAGCGAAAGCGAGUCUGAACAGGGCGUUCAGUUCGUCGGAUUAGACCCGAAACCGAGUGAUCUAGCCAUGAGCAGGCUGAAGGUGAGGUAACACUUACUGGAGGGCCGAACCCACGUCUGUUGAAAAAGACGGGGAUGACUUGUGGCUAGGGGUGAAAGGCCAAUCAAACUCGGAAAUAGCUGGUUCUCCGCGAAAUCUAUUUAGGUAGAGCGUCGGGCGAAUACUCCAGGGGGUAGAGCACUGGAUGGGCUAGGGGUCCUUACCGGAUUACCAAACCUAACCAAACUCCGAAUACCUGGAAGUACUACCCGGCAGACACACCAUGGGUGCUAACGUCCGUGGUGGAGAGGGAAAAAACCCUGACCGCCGUCUAAGGUCCCUAAAUUGUGGCUAAGUGGGAAAGGAUGUGGGGUCCCCAAAACAACCAGGAGGUUGGCUUAGAAGCAGCCAUCCUUUAAAGAAAGCGUAACAGCUCACUGGUCUAAAUAAGGGGCCCUGCGCCGAAAAUGUACCGGGGCUAAAGCCACAUACCGAAGACGCGGGUGCAUGCUUGCAUGCGCGGUAGCGGAGCGUUCCGUAAGCCUGCGAAGGGUGACUCGUGAGAGCAC
rnacentral:rRNA from 1 species